CUUGAAUCUAAGAAAUCAUAAAUUUAGUCCCUAAAAGUGCAAAUUGAUAAUCACAUUAGUCCAAAAUGCAAAAAAUUUAACUAAACUAAUAUUAUUGAUAAUUUCAGGAACUAAAAUGACAAUAAAUAAAUGAAUUUAAGAACUUAACAAGGAUCCAUUGGAGGGAAAUUCUGGUGCCAACAACCGCGAUAAUUCCAUCUCCAAUAGUGUAUAUUUAAGUUGUCACAAUUAAAAAGCUCGUAGUUGGACCUUGGGUUGGGUCGAUCAGUCUGCCUCUAGUGUGCACCGGUCUGCUUGUCCCUUCUGUCGACGAUGCACUCAUGGACUUAAUUGGCCAGGUUGUGCCUCCAGUGCUGUUACUUUGAACAAAUUAGAGUGCUCAAAGCAAGCCUACACUUUGGAUACAUUAGCAUGGGAUAAAAUCACAGGAUUCUGAUCUUAUUGUGUUGGCCUUCAGGAUCAGAGUAAUGAUUAACAAGGACAGUCGGGGGCAUUCGUAUUUCAUAGUCAAAGGUAAAAUUCUUGGAUUUAUGAAAGACAAACAACUGCGAAAGCAUUUGCCAAGGAUGUUUUCAUUAAUCAAGAACGAAAGUUGGGGGCUCGAAGAUAAUUAGAUAUCGUCCUAGUCUCAACCAUAAACGAUGCCGACCAGGGGUCAACAAAUGUUGCUUUUAGGACUCUGCUGGCACCUUAUGAGAAAUCAAAGUCUUUGGGUUUCG
rnacentral:ncRNA from 1 species